UUAUAAAAACCUUAAAUUGCAAGUUUAAAAUUCUUCUUAAGAAA
rnacentral:tRNA from 1 species